GGUGAACGCUGGCGGCGUGCCUAAGACAUGCAAGUCGAGCGGGGCAGGUUUAUACCUGUUCAGCGGCGGACGGGUGAGUAACGCGUGGGUGACCUACCCGGAAGAGGCGGACAACCUGGGGAAACCCAGGCUAAUCCGCCAUGUGGUCCUAUCCUGUGGGGUAGGACUAAAGGGGCGACCCGCUUCCGGAUGGGCCCGCGUCCCAUCAGCUAGUUGGUGGGGUAAAGGCCCACCAAGGCGACGACGGGUAGCCGGUCUGAGAGGAUGGCCGGCCACAGGGGCACCGGGGCACGGGGCCCACGCCCACGGGAGGCAGCAGUUAGGAAUCUUCCGCAAUGGACGGAAGUCUGACGGAGCGACGCCGCUUGGAGGAGGAAGCCCUUCGGGGUGUAAACUCCUGAACUGGGGACGAAAGCCCUGUGUAGGGGGAUGACGGUACCCAGGUAAUAGCGCCGGCCAACUCCGUG
rnacentral:rRNA from 1 species